GGGGAAGCGCCUGGACUUCCCUUGUCUUUGUGGAAGUCGCCCCUUGGUGGAGUUGGCGCAAACUGCCAGGUUUCUAGAAAGGGCGGGAAAGAGGAGCGCGUCUGAGGGGAAGGGAGAGGGGCAAGGAUGAUGGGCACGGGAGUAGGAGGAAAGGGCCCUCUCGAUGGCUCCCUGUCCGACGUGGCGACCCUGAACAAAACGAAAAAAGAAAACUAAAUGGAGAAAAACUUGAAAUCUCUGGAUAGUCCGAAAAUUUUACCUCAUAACGAGGCUCUUCAAUUGAGAAAGGAAGAGGGGGAAAUGGCAUUUCAUCUCUGACUGGAGAUGAAGAUGGUGGAAAAGGAAUUUCGAUGUAAACUAUGAUGGGGGAAAAACAAUUUUACUUAGGGAUUGAGUAGGAAAUUUGCCUCAAUGAAUGUGACUAGGAAGCUUAAGACCUUUGGAGAAUUUAAGGGAGGGAUAUAUCAUUAGACCAUAAAUGAAAAGAGAAAAUGAAAAUAUUCAACCACAUUUGGAGUCAACAAUGACACCCAAAGAAAAGAUAGAAGAGCAACUCCAAAAGGUGCCCUAUUCGAAUUAUUCACUCAGCCUCAAAUUGAAGGAGGGAAGCAGAAAGGGCUUAGACCUCUCCAAUCUCUUCUGAUGAACACUACAGGUGACCAGUCUCUUGUGCCCCCGAAAAAACUCUGAAUGAAAAAAGAAAAAAGAAAACCAGUUCCAAAAUGGAGGAAAAACUGAGUUCGAUCUGACCGGCUCAUGGUUCAUUCAAUCUUUUAAUGUUUCUCAGGUGCCCUUUUGAAAUCAUUCGCUCAGCCUCACAGCAAAGGAGGGACCAGAAAGGGCAGAGACCCCUCCAGCCUCUUCUGAUGAACACCCCAGGUCACCCGUCUCUUGUUCCUGCGGAAAGACUCUGAAGAAAAAGAAAAACCAGUUCCAAAAUACUAGGAAAAGCUGAAACCCAUGGAUAUUCCAGAAAUUUUACCUCAUGAGGCUCCUUAAUUGAGAAAUAGAGGGGGAAAUGGUGUUUCAUCUCUGACUGGAGAAAAGGUGAAAUUACAAAACGAGGAACGGAAGAUCGUGAAAAAGGAAGAUAAAGCUAAGCUAUGAUGAGGGAAAAACCAUUUUACAUAGGGAUUGAGUAGGAAAUUCGCCUCAACAAAUUUGACUAGGAAGCUGAAGCCCUUGAGAGAAUUUAAGAUAGGGAUAUAUAAUUAGACCAUAAAUAAAAAGGAAAAAAGAAAAUAAAAAAGCAAAAUAAGAAGAGCUCAAGACUCCAUUGAUGUGAAAAGAUUCAAUCACAUUUUGAGUUGACAAUGACAUGCAAAGCGUUAGCUACAGUGAGCAAAACAAAGAAGCUAAAAUGAUGGAAAAGUGGUUAAAAUCCAACUGAAAAAAUGGAGCGAAUGUAUUUCUUUUUUUUCCCUCCAGUUUGACACAUAACCUUUAAUAAGCCAUAUUUAAAAAAUAGCAUCAACCCAGCAGGAAAUAUGCCCCUCCCCCCCACAAGGCCAUCCAAACAAUUUAGUCUAUUAGUAUAGUAAUUUUUAAUGCAACGAAGAGACUGUGAUGUUGACGCUAUUAUAUAUCUUAGCACAAAUGAUCUGUCCCCAAAAGAUGUCAACUCUGAAGCUGGCCGGACUGAGACCAUCUUGGAGGCUUCAGUGUUGCCCCAGUGGAUAGGGAGAAGGGAAUAGAGAUAGCUGGGGUUUUGUAGCCAAAACAAAAUAGUUUCCCCGGAGAACCAAGGACAUUUUCAUAAGUGGCUGAAGAGCAGACGAGUGAAGUUUCCAAGCAACCGGAUAGCAUCUUGAUUGGAUCAUGUGACUGAUUGUUUUGGAAAAGGGGGAAAACUUUAACUUUUAAUUAGGUGAAAACCUUGGGGACCUUUAGAGUUGGUUUUCACCAGUCUCUGCCAAUAUCCAAUAAACUUGUUC